ACUUAAAAUCCGUUGGCUUUAUUGACCGUGAGGGUUCAAGUCCCUCUACCCCC
rnacentral:tRNA from 1 species